AGACCCCGUGAACCUUUACUAUAGCUUGACACUGAACAUUGAGCCUUGAUGUGUAGGAUAGGUGGGAGGCUUUGAAGUGUGGACGCCAGUCUGCAUGGAGCCGACCUUGAAAUACCACCCUUUAAUGUUUGAUGUUCUAACGUGGACCCGUAAUCCGGGUUGCGGACAGUGUCUGGUGGGUAGUUUGACUGGGGCGGUCUCCUCCUAAAGAGUAACGGAGGAGCACGAAGGUUGGCUAAUCCUGGUCGGACAUCAGGAGGUUAGUGCAAUGGCAUAAGCCAGCUUGACUGCGAGCGUGACGGCGCGAGCAGGUGCGAAAGCAGGUCAUAGUGAUCCGGUGGUUCUGAAUGGAAGGGCCAUCGCUCAACGGAUAAAAGGUACUCCGGGGAUAACAGGCUGAUACCGCCCAAGAGUUCAUAUCGACGGCGGUGUUUGGCACCUCGAUGUCGGCUCAUCACAUCCUGGGGCUGAAGUAGGUCCCAAGGGUAUGGCUGUUCGCCAUUUAAAGUGGUACGCGAGCUGGGUUUAGAACGUCGUGAGACAGUUCGGUCCCUAUCUGCCGUGGGCGCUGGAGAACUGAGGGGGGCUGCUCCUAGUACGAGAGGACCGGAGUGGACGCAUCACUGGUGUUCGGGUUGUCAUGCCAAUGGCACUGCCCGGUAGCUAAAUGCGGAAGAGAUAAGUGCUGAAAGCAUCUAAGCACGAAACUUGCCCCGAGAUGAGUUCUCCCUGAGACUUAGAGUCUCCUGAAGGAACGUUGAAGA
rnacentral:rRNA from 1 species